GAGAAAAUCACAGGACAGGCCCUUCGUGCCUUCUUUCUUCUCAAUUCUCUGCAUACAAGUUUCCUUCCUGUGAAAACUGAAGCCCAAAGGAACGCACAGAAGAAUUACGAUAAAUCUGAAUAUCUUUUUUUUUUUAUCAAAAAAAGAAAAACAUAGACAGUCGCAGAGAGUGAUGGCAUGGUUGCGAUCGGCGGGUGUGAAAGCUGGAAAAGAAUCACCUUCGCUCUUCAGCUUGACACGGAGGUUAGUCCACGGUGCCCAAUCCCUACGAAUGCGAGCAUUGUCGUCCGCCGUAUCGCCUCCGUCCAAGGCUGCUGUAUACGAGCUUCACGGAUCACCUGACACAGUCACCAAGUUGAUAGACCUUCCGCCCAUUGAAAUCAAAGAGAAUGAUGUGUGCGUCAAGAUGCUUGCUGCUCCUAUCAAUCCCUCGGAUAUCAAUAGGAUAGAAGGUGUGUAUCCUGUGAGACCGCCACUCCCAGCUAUUGGUGGGUAUGAAGGCAUUGGAGAGGUGCAUUCAGUGGGCCCUGCAGUUACAGCUCUAUCUCCCGGUGAUUGGGUUAUUCCUUCUCCACCCUCUUUUGGGACUUGGCAAACAUACAUUGUCAAAGAUCAGAAUGUGUGGCAUAAAAUAAAUAAGGAUGUACCUAUAGAAUAUGCUGCUACAAUCACUGUCAAUCCUCUGACCGCCCUGAGGAUGGUUGAAGAUUACAUUACUUUGAAUUCAGGAGAUUCUAUUGUGCAAAAUGGGGCCACAAGCAUGGUUGGGAAGUGCGUCAUUCAGAUUGCCCAAUCUCGUGGUAUUCACAAUAUCAAUAUAGUAAGGGAUAGGGCAGGGAUUGAUGAAGUAAAGGAAAAACUCAAGAAAUUGGGAGCUGAUGAAGUUUAUACCGAGAGCCAGCUGGAAGUGAAGAACGUCAAGAGUCUUUUGGGUGCUAUACCCGAACCUUCAUUGGGAUUUAACUGCAUCGGCGGUAAUUCUGCUUCCCUGGUUCUCAAAUUUUUGAGACAAGGAGGAAUGAUGGUGACAUACGGUGGAAUGUCUAAAAAGCCUAUCACAGUGUCAACUUCGUCCUUCAUAUUUAAGGAUCUUUCCUUGAGGGGAUUCUGGUUGCAGAAGUGGAUGACGACUGAUAAAGCUGGAGAGAGCAGAAAAAUGAUAGACAGGCUUUUGGGUCUUGUGCAAGAUGGGAAGUUGAAAUAUGAGAUGGAACUGGUUCCCUUUGACAAUUUCAAGACAGCAUUGGAUAAGGCCCUUGGCAAACUCGGGAGUCAACCUAAACAAGUGAUCAUAUUUUAAACAUUUAAAUAGGAUUCAAGAGUUUGUUGAGACUUGAUAUUAGGUAAGCCUUGGGGAAAGAAAUUCAGUUUGUCAUCUGGCAAUUAUAGUAUGAGUUGGGAGUGACGUCUCCACUCUCUAGUGAAGUUGCAUCGUACCAGUUAAGCAUAGUGGUCAAGCUAAUUUGAUUGGUAAAGCAGUCAACAAAUGGACAUUGCAUUGAGAGAAUUUCGUGGACGGGCAACUAACACUGACGAGCAUCGACCUGAGUUUAAUUGAAACGCUCACGACUACAUCCUUGAUGCAUCCCUAGCCUGUAAUGAUGUUAAAAAAGAUUUACCCUAGUGACGGAAGAUGCAGGCAAAUCCUCUGACAGUAAUGUUUUCUUUAUCUGCUUGGAAAGUUGAAAGUUGAGAGUGUCAACUUUUACUUUGUCACUAUUAACGUGAAAACUUUGAAGCCGGCGGGCGGCGGCAUUGCUUUGAUGUUUACAAGUUACAACUGUGUAGAGCGGCGUUGCACAAGAGUCAGAACUGGAUCAAAGAGUACUUGUUGGUUCCCCCACCCCCCAAAUAAAUAAGAUGACCCCCAAGGACGGUACAUCCUUAGAAUUGCCAAAGGCGAUACUCUUGCUCAUAACUUCAUAAAACUAAGUGUAUAUAAAAACUAGAAAUAUUUUAUAUAAGGCUGCACAAAGGAUUGGAUGGCAUUGAACUUCGCCCUAAUUUAAAGUCUGGUCUUUUUUAUGAAAAGGAUUGGGUUAGGAAAUUUGUAAUUCGGUCCUGUCUAGUGAUAAUCAGAAAAUUGACAGGAUCAGAUUUGGUGCAUAGGAUUGAGAUACUGAUCUUGUUAGUUUAGUACUUACUCAGUUUUUUUCUUUUUUUA